AGAUUGAACGCUGGCGGCGUGCCUAACACAUGCAAGUCGAGCGGUAACAGGUGUAGCAAUACAUGCUGACGAGCGGCGAACGGGUGAGUAAUGCUUUGGAAUCUUCCCAGUAGUGGGGAAUAACCAGUCGAAAGAUUGGCUAAUACCGCAUACGUCUGUAAAGGGAAAGCGGGGGCUCGUAAGACCUCGCGCUAUUGGAUGAGCCAAAGUCGGAUUAGCUAGUUGGUGGGGUAAUGGCCUACCAAGGCGACAAUCCGUAGCUGGUCUGAGAGGACGACCAGCCACACCGGAACUGAGACACGGUCCGGACUCCUACGGGAGGCAGCAGUGGGGAAUAUUGGACAAUGGGGGAAACCCUGAUCCAGCGACGCCGCGUGUGUGAAGAAGGCCUGCGGGUUGUAAAGCACUUUUAGUGGGGACAAAAAGCUACGGACUAAUAUUCUGUGGUCUUGAUUUAACCCAAGAAAAGCACCGGCUAACUCUGUGCCAGCAGCCGCGGUAA
rnacentral:rRNA from 1 species